GCGGAAGUAGCUCAGAGGUAGAGCUUUUGCUUCCCAAGCAAAAGGUCGCGGGUUCGAUUCCCGUCUUCCGCUCCA
rnacentral:tRNA from 1 species